CCCUUAGAUGUUCUGGGCUGCACGCGCGCUACACUGAAGCUAUCAACACGUUUUCCCUCCCUGAGAAGGGCGGGUAACCUUUUGAAUCAGCUUCGUGGUAGGGAUCGGGGCUUGCAAUUGUUCCCCAUGAACCAGGAAUUCCUAGUAGACGCGAGUCAUAAGCUCGCAUCGAUUAAGUCCCUGCCCUUUGUACACACCGCCCGUCGCUACUACCGAUUGAACGUUUUAGUGAGGCAUUUGGACCGACGCAUCUCAGUUUAACCGCUGGUUUGUGUUGGAAAGACUUCCAAACUUGAGCGUUUAGAGGAAGUAAAAGUCGUAACA
rnacentral:rRNA from 1 species